CGACGUCGUAUUGGCAUUCUACUUGACUAUCUUUUGAAGAUACCUCUUCAUGUAGAACACAAGAAACAUUCAAAGGGGAAGAGAAACAAAUAUCAAAUUUUCUAUUAAUUCUCAAUUUCAGUUGUGAAUAAUACUAAGUUCCCCUCUAAAAUGCCUAGAUGACAAGGUAUUUAUAGUAUAAUAACUAUUCCUACUAAUACUAGUAUUAAGAAUCCCAAAAUGAGGCAAUAUUAAAUCAAUACUAACUAGGAAUAUAAAAUCGACGCUAACUAGGAAAAUAAUAAACCUAAUAGAACUCUUGAAAUAUUCUUAAAUGAUAAUAAGUGAUAGGGUGGUUCCACAAGUGUACGGAGUCAUCUCAAGUAAUAUAGUGAUAGGAGAGUUGUCUAUCCCAUGAGGAUUGGAUACUAAAUACCAGAAUUUAACGUAAUCCUAUUAUUAUCUAGACUAUCAAACUAAAAGGAUAUCAAAAUUAAAUAAAAAUGGUAAAAAUUUAAUUAACUUAAUUAAUAACCACCUCUAACCAACAAAAACCAAUGGAUGAGAACACUAGGGUAUCUUGAUUUCACUUAUCUGAUUGACAAUCUACCCAUAAUUAUAUAAUGCAAAGAAAAAUAAUCCUAAUUUAUUUCAUACUCUUUCCCAAGAUAUACCAAAAAUAUUGAUUAAAAAUAUACUACCCAUCUCCCAAUAGUGAUAGCAAAUUUUAACCAAUUCAUUAGGCUCUAUGAUUAUUCCAUAAAAUUUCCAUAGGUUAAAUCUUUACUUUUGUUCCGAUUAUUAUUCUUGUGUAGUUUAUUGCCCUCUUCUAUUUACUUUAUUGCCCUCUUCUAUUUACUAAUCUUCUAUUACAAUAUGGAUUAAUGAACAAGAUCAAUUAAAUACAAUAAAAAUUUAAAAGCAUUAAACUAAACAAUAAAUUAUUGUAUUGAUAAUAGAAGACAAACCAAAUAUUUAAAUAGCUCC
rnacentral:misc_RNA from 1 species